rnacentral:rRNA from 1 species
UACGUAGGGUGCAAGCGUUAAUCGGAAUUACUGGGCGUAAAGCGUGCGCAGGCGGUUUUGUAAGUCAGAUGUGAAAUCCCCGGGCUUAACCUGGGAACUGCGUUUGAAACUACAAGGCUAGAGUGUGGCAGAGGGGGGUGGAAUUCCACGUGUAGCGGUGAAAUGCGUAGAGAUGUGGAGGAACACCGAUGGCGAAGGCAGCCUUCUGGGCCAACACUGACGCUCAUGCACGAAAGCGUGGGGAGCAAACAGG